rnacentral:tRNA from 1 species
GCCGAGGUAGCUCAGCCAGGUAAGGCGCGGGCCUGGAGAGCCCGUGGUGCUUGUCACCUCGAGGGUUCGAAUCCCUCCCUCGGCG